rnacentral:lncRNA from 1 species
GUCGGGUAAUAGGGAAUAUAAGGUUAUGAUAAACUUUUACUGUGUGCUCCUGCUUACAGGAUGCCUACCAUUGCAAUCAUGAAUAAAAUAGCUUCACAGAAGAUCCUGUCUGAAGAAAAUUAUUGAGAUUUUUCUCACAGUUUGGGGGCUCAUCCAGGAUCUUGUUGCAUACCCAAGAGUUCUUGCCACCGCAGACAGGAAGGUGCACCCUGCUGAUUUCAGCGGUCCUGUUGGGGGUGGUGGGUUCUCUUGGUAUGGCUGACAAAGGACUGAGACUGUUAAUCUGAAGACAGGCUCUGUGAAGCACUGGGACAGACACACUACAUGACACACUACACACUACAAGACAUGGCACAGACACACUGCAGACACAAGGCAGACACAGUACAGGCACAGGGAUAACUGCUGAUAACCCAGAGCGGGAAUUCUGUGCAUGGACCGAGCUAGAAAACACAUGAUCUCAGAACAACCCUCACACCAGCAGUUACUUUUCUGUCUUCCUCCCAUUCUCUUGUUUCAUGAAGGAAAUGGAAGCCAGCAGCUCAGCCCUGAUAGUUAAGAGGUAGAAAUCACCAACCCUUUUUCUUGCUUUCUACUUAUCUGAUCCAAGGUAGAAGCAAAACAAACACUCAGAAUGUAACUAGCAGACAUAGGAACUAUAAUCCCAUUGAAAUUUUAUUGUUAGAACCUGCUUAAUCUCAGGUGAAAGUCUUGCAUAUGUGAUGGCACGCUAUAAACUUACAUACUCUUUCCCUUCCUUACUCACUUGAUUGUGCAACAGCAGGACAAAUAUUUCCCAAAUCAAAGAUGAGUUAGUGUUUUAUCUCCAAGCUCAGCAGUUUCAGGUUUUUACUAUAGUUCAUGACAUGACUGUUUUUUGUCGUUGUUCUUGUUGUUGUUGUUUCUGUGUUUGUUUGUUUAUUUUGAUUGUUUUUUUUUGUUUGUUUUUAAAUUCUACUCUUUAAGAAAUAGAGACAUCAGGUUUUUUUUUUAUUUUUACACCUUGUAAAUUUCUUUUGGUCUUUUGACAUUUAAAUGCACCUAAGUAUGCUGUUUCGUAGAAUAGCUAUAUUUAUGUAGUCCCAGAAGUUUUACUUCAUGCAAAAUGGGGGGAAAUACCUAUGAAUAUUUUAUGAAAUAAAGCUUCUAUAUUUAAGAAAAGUCA